rnacentral:rRNA from 1 species
AUAUAAGGUGACCGUACCAAAACCGACACAGGUAGGAGGGUAGAGUAUACCAAGGCGCGCGAGAGAAAGGUUGUUAAGGAACUCGGCAAAUUAACCCCGUAUCUUCGGAAGAAGGGGUCCUGCCGGAGGCUAGGGACUUGCUCCCGAUGUUUCCAGCAGGCGCAGUGAAGAGGCGAAGGCGACUGUUUAUCAAAAACAUAGCACUAUGCAAACUCGCAAGAGGAAGUAUAUGGUGUGACACGUGACCAAUGCCAAAAGGUUAAGGCAAGGGGUUAGCAUUAGCGAAGCUCUAAACCGAAGCCCUGGUGAAUGUCGGCCGUAACUAUAACGGUCCUAAGGUAGCGAAAUUCCUUGUCGGGUAAGUUCCGACCUGCACGAAUCGUGUAACGAUCUUCGCACUGUCUCAACAACCAUCUCGGUGAAGUUGUAGUUCCGGUGAAAAUGCCGGAUAACCGAUGCAGGACGGAAAGACCCCGUGAACCUUUACUAUGACCUGACAUUGGAAUUUGAUGUAUCAUAUGUAGUAUAGCUGGGAGACUUUGAAACAUCUUCGUCAGGAGGUGUGGAGUCAUUAGUGAAAUACCAGUUUUGGUUUAUUGAAUUUCUAACUACGAUCCCUUGAAUCAGGGCGUGGAACAGUGUCUGGGAGUUAGUUUGACUGGGGCGGUUUCCUCCUAAAGAGUAACGGAGGAGCACAAAGGUACCCUCAGCACGGUCAGCAAUCGUGCGAAGAGCGUAUAGGUAUAAGGGUGCUUAACUGCGAGACCUACAAGUCGAGCAGGUGCGAAAGCAGGUCUAAGUGAUCCGGUGGUUGCUAGUGGUAGCGCCAUCGCUUAACGGAUAAAAGGUACUCCGGGGAUAACAGGCUGAUGAUUGCCAAGAGUCCACAUCGACGCAAUCGUUUGGCACCUCGAUGUCGGCUCAUCGCAUCCUGGGGCUGGAGAAGGUCCCAAGGGUUGGGCUGUUCGCCCAUUAAAGCGGUACGCGAGCUGGGUUCAGAACGUCGUGAGACAGUUUGGUCCUUAUCCGCCGUGGUCGCAGGAAGUUUGAAGAGAUUAAUCCUUAGUACGAGAGGACCAGGAUUAACGUGCCUCUGGUGUUCCAGUUGUCGUGCCAACGGCAUCGCUGGGUAGCUACGCACGGGAAGGA